rnacentral:rRNA from 1 species
GAAGCGGGAAAAGCUCAAAUUUGAAAUCUGGCGGUCUUUGAUCGUCCGAGUUGUAAUCUAGAGAAGUUGUUACCUGUGCAGGACCAUGUACAAGUCUCCUGRAAUGGGGCAUCAUAGAGGGUGAGAAUCCCGUCUUUGACAUGGACUACCUGCAUGUUGUGGUGCGCUCUCAAAGAGUCGAGUUGUUUGGGAAUGCAGCUCAAAAUGGGUGGUAAAUGCCAUCUAAAGCUAAAUAUUGGCGAGAGACCGAUAGCGAACAAGUACCGUGAGGGAAAGAUGAAAAGCACUUUGGAAAGAGAGUUAAACAGUACGUGAAAUUGCUGAAAGGGAAACGCUUGAAGUCAGUCACAUUGGCCAGAAAUCAGCCUUGCUUUUGUGAGGUGUACUUUCUGUUUGAUGGGUCAGCAUCAAUUUCGAUCGCUGGAUAAAGUCUCUGGGAAUGUGGCAUCUUCGGAUGUGUUAUAGCCCAUUGUCACAUGCAGCGGUUGGGAUUGAGGAACUCAGCACGCCGAAAGGCCGGGUUUCGACCCAUGUCCGUGCUUAGGAUGCUGGCAUAAUGGCUUUAAUCGACCCGUCUUGAAACACGGACCAAGGAGUCUAACAUGCCUGCGAGUGUUUGGGUGGAAAACCCAUGCGCGCAAUGAAAGUGAAAGUUGAGAUCCCUCUAGUAGGGGAGCAUCGACGCCCGGACCAGACCUUUUGUGACGGAUCCGCGGUAGAGCAUGCAUGUUGGGACCCGAAAGAUGGUGAACUAUGCCUGAAUAGGGUGAAGCCAGAGGAAACUCUGGUGGAGGCUCGUAGCGAUUCUGACGUGCAAAUCGAUCGUCAAAUU